rnacentral:lncRNA from 1 species
GCAUGCAUAGUUUGCAUGAGAAACGAGAGACAAAUAGUGGUAGAGAGGAAAAAAAAAAAAAAAAAAGAGAGUGGUAAUAAUAUUCUUGGAGGAGUUAAAGGUCGGAGCUUGUAUUUUCUUAACUUGGAGCUAGUUUUGGAAACGAGGUAGGGGGUUUCUUGGUGACCUUUUACAAAGAUUGAUAUAAUUAAAUUUUAUGAGCUCUAUAUUAUGUGUGAUAUUGUAUAAUGUUCUUGAUAUAGGAUAUUUACGUAUUGUGAACUAUUUGAAUAAUGUUGGCAUACUUAUAUCAUGUCAUGGUAAUUGGUUGGUGUUGUUGGAUUGAGAAAAUAAUGAUGGAAAAGAGGGUAAUGGAUAAGGAUUUUUGUGUAGUUGAGUCUAACCAUUGUAGGGACCAAGUCCAGGCGAGCACAUGUGCACAGUAGACUAGGAAAUCGGCGGUAUAAUUAUCGAUUGGGUGAUUUAGGCUUGGAGAUCAAUGGUAUAGACAAGAUAACUAGCAAAAGGGGAAUUAUGAGAUAACUAUGAUGUGUGUUAGUUUAUAUAAUGGGGCAUUUGAAAUCACGGUAAAAUGCAUGGUAUGGGACAUGCAUAUUUGAUUACCAUAUUAUAUACAUUAACAGGUUGGGUAGAAUUGAAGAGCAUUCAUGCAUUAUUAUUAUUAAUGUGAUAUUAUUUGGUUGUGUGAUUGCAUGUCACUUAAUUUAGUUCUAUCAAUCUAUUGUGGUAAGGUCUCAUGUCCCUACUGAGUUUUAUUUAUUUCUUGUAAACUUGUAAGAUUUCGAAUCUAUUUUUCUAUAAGAGAAGUUUAUUUUAAACCCUGUUUCGGUCUCUUUUCUUUUUAUUUUAUUUUUUAUUUUUUCACGCCCGAGCUCAGAGAUUCCAUCGACCUCCAAGUCUAGCGAUGACAGAAGAUCAAAAGUUGAAGAAUCCACAAGUGAAUAUUCUUCCGUGAGAAUAUUUGCUCGUAGUUUUGGCCUGUUCUUCUUUUGGAUCUAGGUUGCUUCAAUGGCGUGAAGUGAAGGGGCUGAAGAAAAAGAUGAGCCGAACACGUUAAAACAACGAAAUUUUGAAAUUGAAUUUUAUACAAAAUAAUUAUAAAAAUCAAAGUUUCUUACAGAUUAUUUUGCCUUGGCUAGAUGGAGAGAAUGUGUGGCAGUGAUGUCGGAUGGUAGAUCCAUGAAGAGAUAGAGAGCAGUAAACUGGAUCUAUGGAGAAAAGAUCACCUCAUCUCCCAAUACACAAGACAAGAACCAAAGUCACUGUCAGAAACCAACCCACCAACAUCUUAAUUGAAGUUGUGAUAACGUGAGAAGGUGGUGAGAAUAUGAGAGAAGAGGAAAAAAAAUACUUGAAGAAAAACAUGCGAGAGGAGCACACAUGGAGGAAAAUAAAGUCAAGAAAGGAGAACUUAGAUUAGAAGAUGGAUCAAGUUUUGGGGAAAGAAAGAUAAAGCAACGAGAAAGUGGACUUGUCUAGGAGACUGCACCAAUAUCUGUUUUGAAAUUCAUUGCAUUUCAAGAUCUCUCUUCUGUUUUUUUAUAAUCUCUACAAAGUAUUUAAAAUAUCUCUUUUUAUUAGCUG